GACGAACGCUGGCGGCGUGCUUAACACAUGCAAGUCGAACGGUAAGGCUCCAGCUUGCUGGGGUACACGAGUGGCGAACGGGUGAGUAACACGUGGGUGACCUGCCCUGCACUUCGGGAUAAGCCUGGGAAACUGGGUCUAAUACCGGAUAGGACCGCACCGUGAGGGUGUGGUGGAAAGUUUUUUCGGUGUGGGAUGGGCCCGCGGCCUAUCAGCUUGUUGGUGGGGUAAUGGCCUACCAAGGCGGCGACGGGUAGCCGGCCUGAGAGGGUGGACGGCCACAUUGGGACUGAGACACGGCCCAGACUCCUACGGGAGGCAGCAGUGGGGAAUAUUGCACAAUGGGCGGAAGCCUGAUGCAGCGACGCCGCGUGGGGGAUGACGGCCUUCGGGUUGUAAACUCCUUUCACCAUCGACGAAGGGUUUCUGACGGUAGAUGGAGAAGAAGCACCGGCUAACUACGUGCCAGCAGCCGCGGUAAUACGUAGGGUGCGAGCGUUGUCUGGAAUUACUGGGCGUAAAGAGCUCGUAGGUGGUUUGUCGCGUCGUCUGUGAAAUUCCGGGGCUUAACUCCGGGCGUGCAGGCGAUACGGGCAUAACUUGAGUACUGUAGGGGAGACUGGAAUUCCUGGUGUAGCGGUGAAAUGCGCAGAUAUCAGGAGGAACACCGGUGGCGAAGGCGGGUCUCUGGGCAGUAACUGACGCUGAGGAGCGAAAGCAUGGGGAGCGAACUGGAUUAGAUACCCUGGUAGUCCAUGCCGUAAACGGUGGGCGCUAGGUGUGGGUUUCCUUCCACGGGAUCCGUGCCGUAGCUAACGCAUUAAGCGCCCCGCCUGGGGAGUACGGCCGCAAGGCUAAAACUCAAAGGAAUUGACGGGGGCCCGCACAAGCGGCGGAGCAUGUGGAUUAAUUCGAUGCAACGCGAAGAACCUUACCUGGGCUUGACAUAUACAGGAUCGCGCCAGAGAUGGUGUUUCCCUUGUGGCUCGUAUACAGGUGGUGCAUGGUUGUCGUCAGCUCGUGUCGUGAGAUGUUGGGUUAAGUCCCGCAACGAGCGCAACCCUUGUCUUAUGUUGCCAGCACGUUGUGGUGGGGACUCGUAAGAAACUGCCGGGGUUAACUCGGAGGAAGGUGGGGAUGACGUCAAAUCAUCAUGCCCCUUAUGUCCAGGGCUUCACACAUGCUACAAUGGUCGGUACAGUGGGUUGCCAGUCCGUGAGGGCGAGCUAAUCCCGCAAAGCCGGUCUCAGUUCGGAUCGGGGUCUGCAACUCGACCCCGUGAAGUCGGAGUCGCUAGUAAUCGCAGAUCAGCAACGCUGCGGUGAGUACGAUCCCGGGCCU
rnacentral:rRNA from 1 species